rnacentral:lncRNA from 10 species
UUUUUCAAAUAUCCUCUGAACGUUGACUUAGGUGCACACACCUGUGCUUCCAUUGGCAACAAAAGCUUUGAAUGCACAGGACUUCCACGGCAUGAAAUGCAUUUACAUACAUUACAUAAGAGAGAAGCAAUGAGCAAGUCUGUUGCUGGGAGAGGCUCACAUCCUUCUCACCAAAUCAAUCUGUAACUUUCAAAUAGCUCUGCUGUAUUUCCUAGCAACAGGAGUAAACACUGUACUACAUCCAGUGCCCAAGAUUUGUAACCACGUUAAUCUGUUAGAAGCCUAGAUGUGUGACUGGAGAUGCCUCCUGUCCAUUCAAUCUGACUCCAAUGUGGUUCUGCAGCACUGGACAAAGAUGGGAGAUUGAAACAGGAGCCCCUGCGAUGGGGGAACAGAGCCAGGGAGCAGGGGUUGGACAGGAACCCAGGUUUGAGAAAACAACCUUGUGAACCUUCUAUUGGAGCAGCAAUAAAGAUCUGAGCUAAGUGUCGAGGGAGGCUGAGGAGGUGGUCACUAAGUCUGUCUUAGGCAUCCCAGGGUCUCCUCAGAGUCCAAGCCUGAAGUCCACUGCAGGGGUCACCAGCCACCUGUGGCCACAUUGGAAUGUGGCCAUUCUGAAUUGAGCUUUUAAAACAGAUUUUUUAACCUGGAGUCCAAGGAGUCCCAGGAAAUCCACAGACGAGAUUCAAUGGAUCCUUGAAAUCCCUAAAAUUAAAUACAAAGCGGGGUAUGUGUGGACAUCUUUUCUCUUCAAGGAAAGAAUCCAUAGCUUUCAUAUGAUGCUCUUAAGACUCUCAGACUGAAAACAGUUUAAGAACUAUUGAGUUUCUGUGGCUUCCAAAGUGUUUAGCUCCUUCUAUUUAUCUAUGGAAUAGCUCUGUGAAUGACUCUCAAAACCAAGCUUUUCUGUGCCUCCUCAAGAGGCCUGCAUUUUAUAUGCAGCAGUACAACUUCCUUCCAUAAGACGCUUUUAUUUUCUGGCAGCAGCAGUAUCACAGGAAGAUGACUGGAAUUUAUAAGUAAGAAACUGAUCUUAAUUUCAACAAUAGUACUGGAGCCCUUACCUCUUUAAAUACACCUUUUUCCAUAGUUUUUUUUUUUAUAGGAUUGAUGACCAAAGAAGGCAGCUAUAAUGUUUUAUUCUCAAGAUGAUGGUUACUCAUCUUAGAAUAAAAACAACAACAACAAAAAAUAACAGAUGAAUGGGAAGAGCCCAAUCAAAGCUUUAUUCUACUCCUCAACAACUCAGGAGUUAAGCCUAAAGCUGCAGAUGAAAAUUUUGCCACCAUGAAGAAAAGAAGAAAUCAGAAUUGGAUUCUUUCUGAACUUUUCCUUUACAGUAGCCAGUAUAUGCCCUUUCCUACUUGAGCAAGUAUAAACUGGGUUUCUGUGAUUUGCAACCAAGUGUCCUGACAAACACAAGGAUGAAAGACAACUGUGUCUCAAUAAAGGAAAAAUAGUUUAUUUUUAUGAGUGGUGGAUUUAAAAAACCUACAUUACUGUGACAAGAGUACCUUAAAACAUUUAAGUCUACAAAAGGCACUUAGGGACUUUAUAGCAAACUCUACACUUAUAAUGAAAAGCCAGACCAGAUCAUUUUAAAAAAACGUUACUGCACGAGAUAAUGGCACAUCCACUCGUUCAAUUAACAUUUAUUGAGUGUCUUCAGGGGUUUUAGACUUGUGCAAUAAAAAUGAUAAAAACGUAUUCUUUGGUUUGAGCUGGUCCAUCCAAGGUCGUUCCAUAAAGAGCAGCUGUGUAUGCUGUUCAGACUAAUUGUGUGAAGCUGGAGAGGCCAGGUGUUUCUGUCUGGCCCAGCAGCUGCACUUUGCGGUAAGGGCACCACCUGAAUUUCAGUCUGGCCAUAAAAUGAGGCUGAAGAAACAGCACCUUGCAUGAGCUUUUAGGUGAAAGGCAGAACAG